UACGGAGGGUGCAAACGUUGCUCGGAAUCAUUGGGCGUAAAGCGCACGUAGGCGGACCGCUAAGUCGGAUGUGAAAGCCCUCGGCUUAACCGAGGAAGUGCAUUCGAAACUGACGGUCUUGAGUAUGGAAGAGGGUCGCGGAAUUCCCGGUGUAGAGGUGAAAUUCGUAGAUAUCGGGAGGAACACCAGUGGCGAAGGCGGCGACCUGGGCCAAUACUGACGCUGAGACGCGAAAGCGUGGGGAGCAAACAGG
rnacentral:rRNA from 1 species